CCGUCUGUGUACUUCCGGGUCAAGUGUUCGACUGAGACAGUGACCGGUGUGCUGUUGGGGCAUACGUGUCUUUCGCCGUCCUAUUGUGUUGCUGAGGAUCGGUGGUGGUGCUGGUGGUCUGGGUGGCGGUAUCCCCUCCUUCCGUGUGCGGUACUCCUCUGGGAUUGGUUUUCUUUGCACAACCCUGUAUUGGAGAGCUUGGAGACAAAGCAGCGGUAAUUCUCAAGCUGAUGCCCCACUGUGGAGUGUUGGUGGUAAAGGACCCCCCUGAUGGUGCACCUGCCCGGGUGCCUGGUGUUUUAGGGAUGAAUGUGAUGCGCAAGUGUUACCACGAGCUUUUUGUGCAACAUGGCGCUACUUUGUUUUCGCAGCCUUGUGUUUUGGAGGCCCCCAGGCCUGUUAUGCAGGCCCUACAGCAGUGCCGCGUUGACAGCACUCGGACCCCUCGUGACGUUCCAGGACAAGUAAAGAUCAGAGAUUGGAGAGCUUGGAGACAAAGCAGCGGUAAUUCUCAGACGAUCCUUGUGACAGUCCUGGUGAGACUCUGUUUCAGCAGGUUCGUUUUUUUUUUUGUGGUACUGUUGCGCCAUACUACCUGUAGUAUACUGAUUUCGCUGUAGUUAUGGAGGAAGAGAUUCAGGAACUCAGAAAUGUAAUUGCACAGUUAAAAGCUGACAAUGAGCGAUUGCAACAGGAACAGGCUGGGCCUAGUGCUCCUUCUACUUCUGCGCCACCUACUGUCCCCUCCACGUCUGUCUCUGUAUCAGAGAGACUCAUUUUUGUGCCUAGAGAUAGGAAGUGUCCAGUCUUUAGGGGUAGGGUAGGUAUAGGUUUGAGUGAGUGGAAAGAGGAGGUGCAGGCGUGUAUGAGAGCCCGGCAUCUAUCCCGGUCUGACCAGGCCUUCUUCUUGUUUGAUCACUUAGAGCAGGGGUCGGGAACCUUUUUGGCUACAAGAGCCAUGAAGACCAGAUAUUUUAAAAUGUGUAUCUGUGAGAGCCAUAUACAUUUUUUAAAACAUUGAAUGCAAUAAAAUGUGUGCAUUUUUAUGUAAGACCAACAGUUUUAGAUAUAAUGGGCUCUAAUUACGUAGACCAGGCACACUACCCCACGCCAAUGGGGUGUGGCCAGCACACUUUCGUGAGCAGCGCAGUGUCUAAUAAUAAAUCAAAUACUUGCUGCCAUUAAUGCAACUUCUGCUGCUGCAUAGUUUUGAACCGUAUUCAGUACACGUAUUUCAUUCUUUUGGCCAUCUUCGUCAAAAGGCUUGGUUCUGCAGCUUUAGCUAGGUGACUCUUUGACUAAAGGAGGAAAGUUUACAUUUACAUGUUUUUUUGACAUCGCAAUGACCGAGGUAGACUACCGCAUUACCCAGUAAUAAUCAAGUUUUGGUGUUUGACCUGGAAAAUAUCAUCAAAAAAGAUAGAUAUGGUCGCCAUAUUGCAGUAGAAAAUAGAUGGACGAAUUAAAAUGCAUAAGAAAGUUUUGAUUUUUAAUAUUAUUUUAACAGUGACUUCUGUGAUGUUUACUUUAAAAUGUUAGCAAACAUACAUUUUUAUUGUGGUAAAUGCUUGAGAGCCAGAUACAGUCAUCAAAAGAGCCCUACCUGGCUCCCGAGCCAUAGGUUCCCUACCUCUGACUUAGAGGGUGAGGCUAGAGAUGAGAUCAAGUAUCGCUCUAGCGUGGAGAGAGAGGAUCCCGAUCGCAUACUUGCCAUUUAACAGGAGCUGUACGGGUGGUCAGAUUCUUAUGUUGCACUGCAGGAGGCUUUCUUCUCUAGGAAGCAGACAGAGGGGGAGACUCUUCAAGAGUUUUCCCUCGCUUUGAUGGGUCUCAUGGAAAGGGUGAAGCAGCGUGCCCCGGCCGGUAUGUUGAACUCUGAAGUCCUCCUGAGGGACCAGUUUGUUGAGCAGGUGUUCAACAGUUCCCUGCGUCGUGAGCUGAAACAGUUGGUGCGUAGACAGCCUAAUUCCACUUUGCUUGAUGUUAGGGCAGAGGUGAUCCAGUGGGAGCGCGAAGGGUUACCUGGUGGCGCAAGAGGCCGUAGUCACUCCAUCCCCCUAAUGUUUGGUGUUCAGUAUGGGGUUCAUGGUGGUCCUCAGGUGUCUGUCCCCUCGUCUUCCGUAUCAGAGAUGAGUGAGAUGAAAGAAAUGCUAAACCGUCAGCAAGAGCAGCUCAAUCAGCUCACUGAGAGCCUUGCUCGGCUGCAGAAUCCCCAGCAGUACAACCGCCCACCGCGUACUGGCCCCAUAGUGUGCUUGCGCUGUAAUCAGCCUGGUCAUAUUGCCCGACAUUGUGAUGGAGCGCGUGUUUCUUCCCGCUCACAGGUCCCCUCCCGACCCCCUCCUACCCCUGGUAGGCAUUCCCACAACGCUCCGGUGUCGGAAAACUAGUGCCCACCGAACUGCGGAGCCACAGUUUGGGUGGGGCCGCCACUGGCUCACAGGAGGUUUCAGGUAGCUUUGAGUCUUCUAAGCUGAUUUCAUCUUGUCCCCAUUUAGAUGUGGACAUGGGUGGAGUUAAGGUUCCCUGUUUGGUAGACACGGGUUCCAUGGUCACCACGAUUUCUGAGGGCUUUUUCCGCCAGUAUUUCGAGCCGUGGGGUCAGGAGCGCCUGCGGUCGUGUCACUGGUUGGAGCUCAAGGCUGCUAAUGGUUUGGCUAUCCCCUAUCUGGGCUACCUAGAGCUUGAGGUGGAGCUUUGUGGUAAGCUGAUGCCCCACUGUGGAGUGUUGGUGGUAAAGGACCCCCCUGAUGGUGCACCUGCCCGGGUGCCUGGUGUUUUAGGGAUGAAUGUGAUGCGCAAGUGUUACCACGAGCUUUUUGUGCAACAUGGCGCUACUUUGUUUUCGCAGCCUUGUGUUUUGGAGGCCCCCAGGCCUGUUAUGCAGGCCCUACAGCAGUGCCGCGUUGACAGCACUCGGACCCCUCGUGACGUUCCAGGACAAGUAAAGAUCAGAGAUUGGAGAGCUUGGAGACAAAGCAGCGGUAAUUCUCAGACGAUCCUUGUGACAGUCCUGGUGAGACUCUGUUUCAGCAGGUUCGUUUUUUUUUUUGUGGUACUGUUGCGCCAUACUACCUGUAGUAUACUGAUUUCGCUGUAGUUAUGGAGGAAGAGAUUCAGGAACUCAGAAAUGUAAUUGCACAGUUAAAAGCUGACAAUGAGCGAUUGCAACAGGAACAGGCUGGGCCUAGUGCUCCUUCUACUUCUGCGCCACCUACUGUCCCCUCCACGUCUGUCUCUGUAUCAGAGAGACUCAUUUUUGUGCCUAGAGAUAGGAAGUGUCCAGUCUUUAGGGGUAGGGUAGGUAUAGGUUUGAGUGAGUGGAAAGAGGAGGUGCAGGCGUGUAUGAGAGCCCGGCAUCUAUCCCGGUCUGACCAGGCCUUCUUCUUGUUUGAUCACUUAGAGCAGGGGUCGGGAACCUUUUUGGCUACAAGAGCCAUGAAGACCAGAUAUUUUAAAAUGUGUAUCUGUGAGAGCCAUAUACAUUUUUUAAAACAUUGAAUGCAAUAAAAUGUGUGCAUUUUUAUGUAAGACCAACAGUUUUAGAUAUAAUGGGCUCUAAUUACGUAGACCAGGCACACUACCCCACGCCAAUGGGGUGUGGCCAGCACACUUUCGUGAGCAGCGCAGUGUCUAAUAAUAAAUCAAAUACUUGCUGCCAUUAAUGCAACUUCUGCUGCUGCAUAGUUUUGAACCGUAUUCAGUACACGUAUUUCAUUCUUUUGGCCAUCUUCGUCAAAAGGCUUGGUUCUGCAGCUUUAGCUAGGUGACUCUUUGACUAAAGGAGGAAAGUUUACAUUUACAUGUUUUUUUGACAUCGCAAUGACCGAGGUAGACUACCGCAUUACCCAGUAAUAAUCAAGUUUUGGUGUUUGACCUGGAAAAUAUCAUCAAAAAAGAUAGAUAUGGUCGCCAUAUUGCAGUAGAAAAUAGAUGGACGAAUUAAAAUGCAUAAGAAAGUUUUGAUUUUUAAUAUUAUUUUAACAGUGACUUCUGUGAUGUUUACUUUAAAAUGUUAGCAAACAUACAUUUUUAUUGUGGUAAAUGCUUGAGAGCCAGAUACAGUCAUCAAAAGAGCCCUACCUGGCUCCCGAGCCAUAGGUUCCCUACCUCUGACUUAGAGGGUGAGGCUAGAGAUGAGAUCAAGUAUCGCUCUAGCGUGGAGAGAGAGGAUCCCGAUCGCAUACUUGCCAUUUAACAGGAGCUGUACGGGUGGUCAGAUUCUUAUGUUGCACUGCAGGAGGCUUUCUUCUCUAGGAAGCAGACAGAGGGGGAGACUCUUCAAGAGUUUUCCCUCGCUUUGAUGGGUCUCAUGGAAAGGGUGAAGCAGCGUGCCCCGGCCGGUAUGUUGAACUCUGAAGUCCUCCUGAGGGACCAGUUUGUUGAGCAGGUGUUCAACAGUUCCCUGCGUCGUGAGCUGAAACAGUUGGUGCGUAGACAGCCUAAUUCCACUUUGCUUGAUGUUAGGGCAGAGGUGAUCCAGUGGGAGCGCGAAGGGUUACCUGGUGGCGCAAGAGGCCGUAGUCACUCCAUCCCCCUAAUGUUUGGUGUUCAGUAUGGGGUUCAUGGUGGUCCUCAGGUGUCUGUCCCCUCGUCUUCCGUAUCAGAGAUGAGUGAGAUGAAAGAAAUGCUAAACCGUCAGCAAGAGCAGCUCAAUCAGCUCACUGAGAGCCUUGCUCGGCUGCAGAAUCCCCAGCAGUACAACCGCCCACCGCGUACUGGCCCCAUAGUGUGCUUGCGCUGUAAUCAGCCUGGUCAUAUUGCCCGACAUUGUGAUGGAGCGCGUGUUUCUUCCCGCUCACAGGUCCCCUCCCGACCCCCUCCUACCCCUGGUAGGCAUUCCCACAACGCUCCGGUGUCGGAAAACUAGUGCCCACCGAACUGCGGAGCCACAGUUUGGGUGGGGCCGCCACUGGCUCACAGGAGGUUUCAGGUAGCUUUGAGUCUUCUAAGCUGAUUUCAUCUUGUCCCCAUUUAGAUGUGGACAUGGGUGGAGUUAAGGUUCCCUGUUUGGUAGACACGGGUUCCAUGGUCACCACGAUUUCUGAGGGCUUUUUCCGCCAGUAUUUCGAGCCGUGGGGUCAGGAGCGCCUGCGGUCGUGUCACUGGUUGGAGCUCAAGGCUGCUAAUGGUUUGGCUAUCCCCUAUCUGGGCUACCUAGAGCUUGAGGUGGAGCUUUGUGGUAAGCUGAUGCCCCACUGUGGAGUGUUGGUGGUAAAGGACCCCCCUGAUGGUGCACCUGCCCGGGUGCCUGGUGUUUUAGGGAUGAAUGUGAUGCGCAAGUGUUACCACGAGCUUUUUGUGCAACAUGGCGCUACUUUGUUUUCGCAGCCUUGUGUUUUGGAGGCCCCCAGGCCUGUUAUGCAGGCCCUACAGCAGUGCCGCGUUGACAGCACUCGGACCCCUCGUGACGUUCCAGGACAAGUAAAGAUCAGAGAUUGGAGAGCUUGGAGACAAAGCAGCGGUAAUUCUCAGACGAUCCUUGUGACAGUCCUGGUGAGACUCUGUUUCAGCAGCCUUGUGUUUUGGAGGCCCCCAGGCCUGUUAUGCAGGCCCUACAGCAGUGCCGCGUUGACAGCACUCGGACCCCUCGUGACGUUCCAGGACAAGUAAAGA